rnacentral:lncRNA from 1 species
AAGAGUAAAGUACUUCCGCUUCCUUAGGUGGAGCUGGAAAGGUGGAGGCGGAAGUGACUGAUCAAUUCAGGGGCGUGGGGUUCGUUUAGGUUUUGCCCUGUGUAUGACCUCGUUUGGAGCCAUGAAACCAGCCUCAAGCUUUAUUCUAGGAAGGUGGCUUUUCUACAAUAUAAAGAUGGAAAUGGGAAGAAGAUGUUCAUUGCAAAUUAAGGAAGCUCUUCCACGAGUUCACGAAUGGAAAUAACAUCAAGAGUUUUUCAUCUUCUUAGUGUGCAAGAUAAAUAUCAAGGAGUGCAAUUCCUGGAUUUAUGAUGUCUGAGGAAUAGUCUUAGUGGAUUAUCCCAAACUUGACACAUUUUUUGCAAAAUGCUAUACAAAAAGAAGAUACAUGCGAUUAUGACAAGAUUCUCCACUUGGUGUGACCAGUCUCAUACAACCCAAGGCUGUGUGUCCAAAGGCAACUGUACUGAUCUUGACAAUAAUCAAAAGGUAGCCAGGUGCAUCGGGGAAAGCACUGACAUUGGAGUCAGACAGACUGAAGUUCAUAUCUGAUUCUGCUAUAUGACAACGUGUGGGCUAUGUGGCUAACUUCUCAGAGCUUCAGUUUUCUCAAGGGCAAAAUGAAAAUAAUAGAAAUAAUAGAAUCCACCUCACAGGGCUGUGGUGAGAAUUGGAGAUGAAGCACAUACAGCAUAUUACAUCAACUAAACACAUGCUAAAAAUUAAAGGGGAUGAAAGAUACAUUGGUCCCUGCAGUGGGAAGUUUCCUUGACAAUGCAAUUAUUGAUUCCAGAAGGCUGAACAAAUGUUGACAGAGGAACACACUGUUUGCUUAUGUCUAAUCUUCCCAUCUGACUUAUAUAAAUGUCACAAAUGAAUCUCAGACAUGUGCCCAAUAUCAAAUAUCCAUACGAUGGCCCUGGAAAGAGGCAAUCUACAUUUAUGGCUGAUGAGAAGAUGGAUUUUUAGCUUGAAAGAAACUUAUUACUGGGGAGAGGAAGUAUAAAUGAAUGGAGAGAGCUAUGAAGAGGUUGAGAGAAUACAGCCAAGGCACAUGACAGAAUUGCUCUGUUGAAGUUUUGCAAGGUCAAAUGACUCACUUUGUCUAAUGGAACGGGAACGAACAAUUUUUUUGUGUCACGUUUGAACAGAUACCUUUGAGAAGUUUAUGAUUCUCCAAGUUCUCUUUCUCCUACUGUGGCACCUACUGACAAGAUAAAUGUGUAGAGGUUCCUGAGUCUAGGGGCACUGGAACCAGCUGACUGAUCUAUGGAAGUUCCCUUGGUCUCCAUUUGUUUAGAAAAGGGAUGAAGAAACUGAGGCCCACAGAAGGUGGGUGAUACCUGCAAAAUCACAAGCUUUCAUGGUGAAAGAAGAGGGCAAAACUCAACCCGUCUCUUUAGACUUGGGAAGAAUAUGAAAGGACCAGGAGGGACACCUUUCCUAAUAACCUAGCUGAUGGUUCACUUAUUAGGCUGGAAAGCUGAAAAAUGACAUUCCCAGACUCCAUUGAAAUUAGAUUUCCAGAGAGUUGUCUCACUAAGCCCAAAUUUGUCUAACUGGCCUUAUUUCCCUGGAGUAUAUCCUGGAAGUUUCCAUUCAAGCCAAUUUAAGUUACUUUAAAUUAGGAAAGGCAGAAAACAAAAGCCCAAACCUUUGUAAAGGAGGAGGAUUUGCUACAUUGUUCUCAAUUCAUCACAGAAGAGGAUGAAACUGAGUGAUUACACUUGCUGGAGAGAAAAAAAGUCCUUCCCCCGCUCACCCCAAAUAAAGCAUUAACUUUAUGUUAAUCCAUGAA